UACGUAGGGAGCAAGCGUUAUCCGGAUUUAUUGGGUGUAAAGGGUGCGUAGAUGGGGUAGCAAGUUGGUUGUGAAAUACCCAGGCUUAACUUGGGAACUGCAACCAAAACUACAACUCUUGAGUACUGGAGGGGAAAGCGGAAUUUCUAGUGUAGCGGUGAAAUGCGUAGAUAUUAGGAAGAACACCGGUGGCGAAGGCGGCUUUCUGGACAGCAACUGACAUUGAGGCACGAAAGUGUGGGGAG
rnacentral:rRNA from 1 species